rfam:Felis catus isolate Cinnamon breed Abyssinian chromosome D1, whole genome shotgun sequence.
GCCUGGGUGGCUCAGUCGGUUAAGCGUCUGACUUCGGCUCAGGUCAUGAUCUCUCAGUCUGUGAGUUCGAGUCCCGCGUCAGGCU